rnacentral:rRNA from 1 species
GGACGAACGCUGGCGGCGUGCUUAACACAUGCAAGUCGAACGGAAAGGCCCCCUUGUGGGGUACUCGAGUGGCGAACGGGUGAGUAACACGUGAGUAACCUACCCUUGACUUUGGGAUAACUUCAGGAAACUGGGGCUAAUACCGGAUAGGAGCUCCUGCUGCAUGGUGGGGGUUGGAAAGUUUCGGCGGUUGGGGAUGGGCUCGCGGCUUAUCAGCUUGUUGGUGGGGUAGUGGCUCACCAAGGCUUUGACGGGUAGCCGGCCUGAGAGGGUGACCGGCCACAUUGGGACUGAGAUACGGCCCAGACUCCUACGGGAGGCAGCAGUGGGGAAUAUUGCACAAUGGGCGGAAGCCUGAUGCAGCAACGCCGCGUGCGGGAUGACGGCCUUCGGGUUGUAAACCGCUUUCGCCUGUGACGAAGCGUGAGUGACGGUAAUGGGUAAAGAAGCACCGGCUAACUACGUG